UUCGUCGUUUACCCUGAGACUGGGUUUUUUUUUUUUUUUUUGAAGAGCAGAAGUAACAGACCUGUCUGUUUUUUCUGUUACUUCUGCUCUUCAAAAAAAAAACCCAGUCUCAGGGUAAACGAUGAA
rnacentral:pre_miRNA from 1 species